AAAAAGGCCCUUUUCAGGGCCAUCAAAUCUAACUCGACCCAGUUGU
rnacentral:ncRNA from 1 species